GCAUUGUGUCAAGAAGCAGUGUGGCUUGGCAGGGUCGUAUUUCGAAGAACGCACGGCUCUCGACCUUCGCCUCUCCCGAGUCCGUACGGGAGUUGCAUUGAUGGGACAAGACUGUAACUACCAAUUGGGGAGAAAAAGGGAUAACAAACUAUUUUACAUUUAUACUUGAUUGAGGUAGGGACAUCCCAAGGAUCCCGAAUAGCACGAACCCUCUGGACAUAAUAUUUUCUAGGCCAUUAGCGAUAACAGGAAAUACACAAGUCGUAGCUCAAGGUGGCUACUUCGGAAUGUCGGCUUGCACAGGAAAAACGCCUGUACAGUGGUUUCCUGGACUGUUUCCUGAAGACUUACUGCCACAAUGGGCUCUGUGCCUGACCUGGCCAAAGUGGCUGGAAUGCUGUGCUCUUUGUCUGAUACGGGGCCUGCCAGCAGCUCACCAGGAGAGACUUUGGGCUGGAGAACGUGUCUGACCUCAGUAGCCUGCUGUAUACCCUGUCUGGCUCACUGGCAUUGGUCUUCUCCUCACUGGUGUUGUGUCUCAGAGAGCUGGUGAAGGGUUGUAUGCAGGCCAUGCAUGAGAUGAGGCUCGGGGGGAGACCUCCCUGGUGUCAUGCAUGUGUCCCUGCUUUGUAUUCUGGUCUAACCCCCACUUCCCCUCCAACGGAGCUCUAUUCCUGGCUUAUGAGUGGACUAGAAGAGCCCUCCUCAACCGCACAUCUGCAUCCUGAGUUAGUUUGUAGGGAUGGGGCAGAAGAGGUUUGUAAAUUCAAAAUUCCCCAAAAAUGCAUUAACAUGUACAAACCUCUGAAACUACAUUGUUAAUUUGUGUUAACCUCUGAUCUUGUUUUAACCAUGUUUUCUAUGUCUGGGGUGUAUUCACUAAGAACCCAAAUGGAACCAAAUGUAAGGAAACAUGGAGGGACCUACCGGAAUUUGUCCAUGUAACAUUUGUCAUAAUGAGCGGCCCAAGGCACAGCGUGCAUAGAGAUCCGCAUAUUUUAAUUAAUCGACCGACCCGUGACGCUACUGGCAUGCACACAUGACGCUACUGGCAUGCACACAUGACGCUACUGGCAUGCACACAUGACGCUACUGGCAUGCACACAUGACGCUACUGGCAUGCACACAUGACGCUACUGGCAUGCACACAUGACGCUACUGGCAUGACUCUACUGGCAUGCACACAUGACGCUACUGGCAUGCACACAUGACGCUACUGGCAUGCACACAUGACGCUACUGGCAUGCACACAUGACGCUACUGGCAUGCACACAUGACGCUACUGGCAUGCACACAUAACGCUACUGGCAUGCACACAUGACGCUACUGGCAUGCACACAUGCAUGCACACAUGCAGGCACACAUGCAGCUACUUGCAGGCACACAUACAGCUACUGGCACGCACACAUGCAGCUACUGGCACGCACACAUGCAGCUACUGGCACGCACACAUGCAGCUACUGGCACACAACUAUCUGUAGACCAGAUCCCACAAUGCGGUGGGAACCACACCACUGAUUGGGAACCACACCAGGCCAACAUAAACCAUUAAUCACCUAGAUGACCCACCCUAGUCACUAUCACGCCCCAACCAACAGAGAAUAAACAGCUCUAUAUGGUCAGGGCGUGACAGUCCAAUAGAAACACCUCUUUUUUUUUUCUCGAAAUGUUUUCUUGUUUGGAGCAAACGGUUACCAUUGCAAAACGUUUUGCAACAUUUUGCUAUGGUCUUCAUCUAAUGAAUACACCUCUGGUCAAUAGGUCUAAUGUCUAGCCACUGAACGUAAUGAGUCAGGACACAAUCAAAGGACUCUAUGCACUAUAACAACUCUAACAUUCCAGCCACUGGCCCGAGACAAGCAUUACACAAUUUCACACAGGAUCUGUUGUGUUGUCAACUAGUUUAAAAAAAAAAUAUCCUUCUAUUUACCGUAUAUGUGUAAAUAAAAUCUUUAGGUUUUACAUUAUAUAGCUACAGCACAGCUCAACACUGUUAUGUUUUGUGUUAUGUUAAUUAUUUUUUCUACAUUAAAUGUGUGUUACACAA